rnacentral:rRNA from 1 species
UUUGAUGUUCUAACGUAGACCCGUGAUCCGGGUUGCGGACAGUGUCUGGUGGGUAGUUUGACUGGGGCGGUCUCCUCCCAAAGAGUAACGGAGGAGCACGAAGGUUAGCUAAUCCUGGUCGGACAUCAGGAGGUUAGUGCAAUGGCAUAAGCUAGCUUGACUGCGAGCGUGACGGCGCGAGCAGGUGCGAAAGCAGGUCAUAGUGAUCCGGUGGUUCUGAAUGGAAGGGCCAUCGCUCAACGGAUAAAAGGUACUCCGGGGAUAACAGGCUGAUACCGCCCAAGAGUUCAUAUCGACGGCGGUGUUUGGCACCUCGAUGUCGGCUCAUCACAUCCUGGGGCUGAAGUAGGUCCCAAGGGUAUGGCUGUUCGCCAUUUAAAGUGGUACGCGAGCUGGGUUUAGAACGUCGUGAGACAGUUCGGUCCCUAUCUGCCGUGGGCGCUGGAGAAUUGAGGGGGGCUGCUCCUAGUACGAGAGGACCGGAGUGGACGCAUCACUGGUGUUCGGGUUGUCAUGCCAAUGGCAUUGCCCGGUAGCUAAAUGCGGAAAAGAUAAGUGCUGAAAGCAUCUAAGCACGAAACUUGCC